rnacentral:rRNA from 1 species
UACGUAGGGUGCAAGCGUUAAUCGGAAUUACUGGGCGUAAAGCGUGCGCAGGCGGUUUUGUAAGUCUGUCGUGAAAUCCCCGGGCUCAACCUGGGAAUUGCGAUGGAGACUGCAAGGCUAGAAUCUGGCAGAGGGGGGUAGAAUUCCACGUGUGAGCAGUCGAAAUGCGUAGAGAUGUGGAGGAACACCGAUGGCGAAGGCAGCCCCUGGGUCAAGAUUGACGCUCCAUGCACGAAAGCGUGGGGAG